ensembl:snRNA U6 U6 spliceosomal RNA
GUGCUUGCUUGGGUAACACAUAGACUAAAAUUGGAAGGAUGCAGAGAAGAUUAGCAUGACUUCUGGGCAACAUGACCCAUGACCUGCAGACUCAUGAAGUGUUUUACAUUCUU